UGGGGAAUAUUGCACAAUGGGCGCAAGCCUGAUGCAGCCAUGCCGCGUGUGUGAAGAAGGCCUUUGGGUUGUAAAGCACUUUCAGCGGGGAGGAAGGCGUUAAGGUUAAUAACCUUGGCGAUCGACGUUACCCGCAGAAGAAGCACCGGCUAACUCCGUGCCAGCAGCCGCGGUAAUACGGAGGGUGCAAGCGUUAAUCGGAAUUACUGGGCGUAAAGCGCACGCAGGCGGUCUGUCAAGUCGGAUGUGAAAUCCCCGGGCUCAACCUGGGAACUGCAUUCGAAACUGGCAUGCUAGAGUCUUGUAGAGGGGGGUAGAAUUCCAGGUGUAGCGGUGAAAUGCGUAGAGAUCUGGAGGAAUACCGGUGGCGAAGGCGGCCCCCUGGACAAAGACUGACGCUCAGGUGCGAAAGCGUGGGGAGCAAACAGG
rnacentral:rRNA from 1 species